rnacentral:rRNA from 1 species
CUUGACACUGAACAUUGAGCCUUGAUGUGUAGGAUAGGUGGGAGGCUUGGAAGUGUGGACGCCAGUCUGCAUGGAGCCGACCUUGAAAUACCACCCUUUAAUGUUUGAUGUUCUAACGUUGACCCGUAAUCCGGGUUGCGGACAGUGUCUGGUGGGUAGUUUGACUGGGGCGGUCUCCUCCUAAAGAGUAACGGAGGAGCAUGAAGG